ACAUCCAAGGAAGGCAGCAGGCGCGCAAAUUACCCAAUCCCGACACGGGGAGGUAGUGACAAUAAAUACUGAUACAGGGCUCUUUUGGGUCUUGUAAUUGGAAUGAGUACAAUUUAAACCUCUUAACGAGGAACAAUUGGAGGGCAAGUCUGGUGCCAGCAGCCGCGGUAAUUCCAGCUCCAAUAGCGUAUAUUAAAGUUGUUGCAGUUAAAAAGCUCGUAGUUGAACCUUGGGUCUGGCUGGCAGGUCCGCCUCACCGCGUGUACUUGUCCGGCCGGGCCUUCCUUCUGGAGAACCUCAUGCCCUUCACUGGGCGUGUUGGGGACCAGGACUUUUACUUUGAAAAAAUUAGAGUGUUCAAAGCAGGCCUUUGCUCGAAUACGUUAGCAUGGAAUAAUAGAAUAGGACGUGCGGUCCUAUUUUGUUGGUUUCUAGGACCGCGUAAUGAUUAAUAGGGACAGUCGGGGGCAUCAGUAUUCAAUUGUCAGAGGUGAAAUUCUUGGAUUUAUUGAAGACUAACUACUGCGAAAGCAUUUGCCAAGGAUGUUUUCAUUAAUCAGUGAACGAAAGUUAGGGGAUCGAAGACGAUCAGAUACCGUCGUAGUCUU
rnacentral:rRNA from 1 species